rnacentral:lncRNA from 1 species
GGAAGUCCAGCGAUUUUGACCCAGGAAGCUCCUCUGACUCCGGCAAGCAAUGAUAUUUCAGGGAUGCUUGCCACACAAACAGGAUCAGCAGCCCUUAAUCCCAUGCAGGAAGCUCAACCUGCAGCACCAGCAGAUGCACAACAAAAUAUUAUUCCCCAGUCAGGUCCACAAGCUCCAUUUGCAUUACAGACAACUCAUUUUCCUGCCCAGGAUGCUCGUCCUAUUACUCCAACAAAUAAUCAUGCUGCCCAGGCUAGGGAUGAUAUUUCUGGUGUUUUUGCCACACAAACAGGAUUGGCAGCUUAUAUUCCCAUGCAGGAAGCUCAACCUGUAGCACCAACACAUGGGCAAGGAAAUCUUAUUCCUCAGUCAGGUUCACCAGCACCAUUUAUGUUAGAGGCAGCUCGUCCUAUAACACCAACACAUGGACAAGGAAAUCUUAUUCCUCAGUCAGGUCCACCAGCACCAUUUAUGUC